UACGUAGGGGGCGAGCGUUGUCCGGAUUUAUUGGGCGUAAAGAGCUCGUAGGCGGUUGGGUAAGUCGGGUGUGAAAACUCAGGGCUCAACUCUGAGACGCCACUCGAUACUGCUCUGACUCGAGUCCGGUAGGGGAGCGUGGAAUUCCCGGUGUAGCGGUGAAAUGCGCAGAUAUCGGGAGGAACACCAGUGGCGAAGGCGGCGCUCUGGGCCGGAACUGACGCUGAGGAGCGAAAGCGUGGGUAGCAAACAG
rnacentral:rRNA from 1 species